UUGGGUGGUGAUAGCGCAGGGGGUACACCCGUUCCCAUCCCGAACACGGUCGUUAAGCCCUGCAGCGCCGAUGGUACUGCCACUGAGAGGUGGUGGGAGAGUAGGACGCCGCCCAAU
rnacentral:rRNA from 1 species